rnacentral:lncRNA from 1 species
GUUAUUAAAUCAGUUUGGCCACAGGAAUGAUAUUCUGAACACUCUUAGAUCCAGUACCUAAUAUGGUCCCUUUCAAUGUUAUGCCACUAUUGCAAAACACAGUUCCUCGUUAACUAUGGAAUGCUGGAAAUGGCCUUUUGACAAGUCACCGUGGACAGUCCAAGACACAUGUUUGAGAGGAAAAUGUAUUCUCUCUGAUCAGCCAGUCACCAUCAUCAUUUGGGUAUCAGCGGUGACCAGAAGGGCCUCAAGAGCCCUAGCAAGGCCAUCAAGUACAUCGAUUUGUAGGAAGCGUGUGGCUUGGAAGCAGCUUUGACUAAGCCUUUCCCAAAGCUCUCUGUCUAACUUCACUUGCCCUAUCACUGUCUUUUCAAUUGCUCUGAAGAACAAGCUAACUCCACAAUUGACGCAUUAGGAAAGUUGCUGCCAAAGAGCAGAAGGUAAGGGUGAGAUCAAACUGACUUCCAGAUCUGUGAACCCACACAUCAAAACCACACCAGACAAAAAGAGGAAAAAACUGACCAAGCAAGGAGUUCUUGGGACAGCCUUCCACAAGAUGGUUCCUUUGAGCUUUUGUUGGCAGCCCAAGUCCAGCCCUCUCGGGUCACCACAGAUACCACCCAGAACUAGUAUCACAUCAUGGAAAAGUGGGACCUAUUUGAAUAAUACUAAACCAUUCAGACUCCAGAGAGAGCCCUGAAGAUCUGGGUGCGUCCUCCAGAGCCCUAGCCAAGUCAGACACAGAGCAUUCCUCUUUCUUCUGUGAAGUUCACAUUCAGCAAGGCACGACCUUAAAUGAAAAAUCAACUAUGUGGGGCAGAACAAACUCCGAGAGCAUGGUGAAGACUUAGCAAGCAGCACUGACUGGAGAACGACUUAGCAGAAAGAAUGCAGAGCUAGAGCGGAUCAUGGCAACUAUGCAAUAAACAACUUGAAGAAUCAUUCCGUCAAGUGUGGGAACCAGAGUGGAAAGAUUGUCUUCAGCCUGCAGCCAACACCAGUCACCACCUAUCAGAGAAAUGCAUCCUGUGAGUACCACAUUCCAGCGUCUCUGGAAGACCUCCAUUUCCUCCCCAGGCUGGGAGAGGCUCAGGCACCUUGGCUCUCUUGGCAGAAAGGCAGCUCCUAGGUGGAACUUGGGCAGUGCCCUCUGCCCUCAUAGCUGUGUCUGCAGGCUGUACCUGUGGCAUCCUUGGCCAGCCCACUCACGCCAAGGCAGUGUGUGCCCCACCCCAACCCAGCCAAGCCAUCUGCAAGAAGCAAUAAUCUCCAUCCCUCUGCUAGUUGGACUGUAGUUCUCAUAGGACUGGCCACAGCUGACAUUCCAGAAGCUGAGGGAAGAAAGAGCCUUAGAAGAUAAGUAAACACGUAAGACCUCGAUUCUCUGCAGGAAGAGGUCAUUACACCUCGGUGUGUUUUCUGUCAGGCAUUCAUGCAGUUGUUGCAUGUCCAAGGGCUGCUGGGAACACUUCAAAAACCCAGAGAAUCAAGCGCUACAAGGUAACAGUUGCUGUUAAUAAGGGGUACCAUAGCACUUUGUGCUCACCCUGCAGGAGCUGUGGAGCGUCACCACUCACUCACACCCCAGGGGAGGAACUUGGGACCGAGAAAAAUCUAGGAAUCACUGGGCAGCAAAAUAAAAAUGUCACCACACUGUAUAGAUGGCCUAUAAAAAGGAGCAGAGUGCGGAAGGAAGGAUGCAGGAGGCUGGCUUGACUGAUCGCUGGCAGAGGCUUUCCUAGCUGCAGCCUGCUGUUACCACCCACGGAUGUUCCUCCCGGGACAUCGCUGAGACAUAAGACACGUACAGAGCCCUUGUUAAUAAACAGACUUGGCACUACAGCACGGCUCUGCUAAGCCUUGUGCCUAUUUGCGUGGUGAUUUACUAAAUAUGAAAAUAAAGCUGUUCCUUAAAGAACCCCCAACUUUUCCAUUCCAAUGCAUUUUUAUCUAAAUCUAGA